rnacentral:rRNA from 1 species
CCCGCAACGAGCGCAACCCUUGUCACUAGUUGCCAUCAUUGUUGGCACUCUAGUGAGACUGCCGGUGACAAACCGGAGGAAGGUGGGGAUGACGUCAAGUCCUCAUGGCCCUUAUGGUAGGGCUUCACACGUCAUACAAUGGUCGGUACAGAGGGUUGCCAAGCCGCGAGGUGGAGCCAAUCCCUUAAAGCCGAUCGUAGUCCGGAUCGUAGUCUGCAACUCGACUACGUGAAGUCGGAAUCGCUAGUAAUCGCAGAUCAGCAUGCUGCGGUGAAUACGUUCCCGGGUCUU